AUUGAACGCUGGCGGCAGGCCUAACACAUGCAAGUCGAGCGGAUGAAGGGAGCUUGCUCCUGGAUUCAGCGGCGGACGGGUGAGUAAUGCCUAGGAAUCUGCCUGGUAGUGGGGGAUAACGUCCGGACACGGGCGCUAAUACCGCAUACGUCCUGAGGGAGAAAGUGGGGGAUCUUCGGACCUCACGCUAUCAGAUGAGCCUAGGUCGGAUUAGCUAGUUGGUGGGGUAAAGGCCUACCAAGGCGACGAUCCGUAACUGGUCUGAGAGGAUGAUCAGUCACACUGGAACUGAGACACGGUCCAGACUCCUACGGGAGGCAGCAGUGGGGAAUAUUGGACAAUGGGCGAAAGCCUGAUCCAGCCAUGCCGCGUGUGUGAAGAAGGUCUUCGGAUUGUAAAGCACUUUAAGUUGGGAGGAAGGGCAGUAAGUUAAUACCUUGCUGUUUUGACGGUACCAACAGAAUAAGCACCGGCUAACUUCGUG
rnacentral:rRNA from 1 species